AUUGAACGCUGGCGGCAGGCCUAACACAUGCAAGUCGAACGAGUGGCGGACGGGUGAGUAAUGUCUGGGAAACUGCCCGAUGGAGGGGGAUAAAUACUGGAAACGGUAGCUAAUACCGCAUACCAUCGGAGGUGCCCAGAUGGGAUUAGCUAGUAGGUGGGGUAACGGCUCACCAAGGCGACGAUCCAUAGCUGGUCGGAUAGGAUGACCAGCCACAAUGGAACUGAGACACGGUCCAGACUCGUCCGGAGGGCAGCAGUGGGGAAUAUGGCACAAUGGGCUCAAGCCUGAUGCAGCCAUGCCGCGUGUAUGAAGCAGGCCUUCGGGUUGUAAAGUACGUUCAGCGAGGAGGCGUUACUCGCAGAAGAAGCACCGGCUAACUCCGUGCCAGCAGCCGCGGUAAUUC
rnacentral:rRNA from 1 species